rnacentral:rRNA from 1 species
UACGGAGGAUCCGAGCGUUAUCCGGAUUUAUUGGGUUUAAAGGGUGCGUAGGUGGAUUGGUAAGUCAGUAGUGAAAGUUUGCAGCUUAACUGUAAAAUUGCCGUUUAAACUGCCGGUCUUGAGUGCAAAUGAGGUAGGCGGAAUGCGUCGUGUAGCGGUGAAAUGCUUAGAUAUGACGCAGAACUCCGAUUGCGAAGGCAGCUUACUGGGAUGCAACUGACGCUGAGGCACGAAAGCGUGGGUAUCAAACAGGAUUAGACUACCCCGUAGU